rnacentral:rRNA from 1 species
AGCAGUGGGGAAUAUUGCACAAUGGGCGCAAGCCUGAUGCAGCAACGCCGCGUGAGGGACGAAGGCCUUCGGGUUGUAAACCUCUUUUAGUAGGGAAGAAGCGACUGGGUUUUCCUGGGAGUGACGGUACCUGCAGAAAAAGCACCGGCUAACUACGUGCCAGCAGCCGCGGUAAUACGUAGGGUGCAAGCGUUGUCCGGAAUUAUUGGGCGUAAAGAGCUCGUAGGCGGUUUGUCGCGUCUGCUGUGAAAACCCGAGGCUCAACCUCGGGCCUGCAGUGGGUACGGGCAGACUAGAGUGCGGUAGGGGAGAUUGGAAUUCCUGGUGUAGCGGUGGAAUGCGCAGAUAUCAGGAGGAACACCAAUGGCGAAGGCAGAUCUCUGGGCCGUAACUGACGCUGAGGAGCGAAAGCAUGGGGAGCGAACAGGAUUAGAUACCCUGGUAGUCCAUGCCGUAAACGUUGGGAACUAGAUGUGGGGACCAUUCCACGGUCUCCGUGUCGCAGCUAACGCAUUAAGUUCCCCGCCUGGGGAGUACGGCCGCAAGG